GCCGCAAAAAUGACAAAGUACCACACUUUUGCGCAGUUGGCGCAAAUGGCACUUGAGUGGGCACAGCCAGGAGCAGGCAAGUCGAAUUGUAGCAAUAUGGCGCAAAUGGCGCAGUUGGACCACC
rnacentral:lncRNA from 1 species